AGCUAGAUAUUUUCUUUCUCAACUUGUAUAAGUACGACACUAAUUCAGCUUUUCUCAUCCAUUCAGAAAUUAAGAGAAUGUUACUCUCGAUUAAUCUCUCCUUCUGUUGAGCUUGUUAUCUUCCAGAGUUCAUCAUUAAUGGUGGAUCUCUUAUUCAUUUAUGACUCCUGGCCAAGCUUUAAUAUGGUAUCAGAGCAAGGAUCAACAUCUAUGUCUUUCGCAGUAACUGAAUUCAAUUUUCAGCUUGAGGCCCCUGCACUGAAAAGGCCUUUGAAAAUUGAUAGGGUGCAUGAUGGAUUAUAUCUUCUCUGCCCAAAGUUGGUACAAAAGAACUAGCAUACAAUGUCAACCAAGAAUUCUGCUACUUGUCUUUCCAUUCAUAAAAAUGAUAGGAUGCAUUGUUAAUGUAUUUUCAAUUCUUGUUUGUCCCAAUCACAUUUCUAUUUGUCCCAUCCCACUGUAUUGAAUAAUUUUUCUGGCAAUAAAGACAAUGCAGUUAAUGUUGAUGUUAGUAUUGUAUA